rnacentral:lncRNA from 1 species
CUCAAACAGACUCCUGCCUUUCCACUCCAAGCAACGGUCAGGUUCAGAGAGAAGCAGCAAGGUAGUAUCUGGAUGAUCAGAGGCCAUGACACAGUUCCAAGAUCAGCUGAAGGUCAGGGUCCCAAGUAGACUGGAAACAUGGUUAGCCAAGGCAGCUAUUCCCUAUAAAAAGUUGCUCAGACUGAGGAGCUGGGUCUGGAGCCAGGGCUAUAUAGGGCAAGGCAGGUCUGGAUUGUGUUGAAGGGUUGGUGGGGUAGACUUCAGCUCUCCAUAUGCUGUUGGACUACAUCGCCCAUCAUUCCUGAACAUUAGGGUUGUCAUACGCCCUCUUUUUCCAGGACAUGUCCUCAUUUUCAUGGGUAGAGUCAUCAUAGCGAACCAUAGUUAAAACUAGAAGUUGGGGAAUGUGUCCUCUUUUUCUGCUCUACAAAAUAUGGCAACCCUAGCAUGCUGGCUAGGGUUGAUAGCAAUUGCAGACUAUAACUUCUGGAGGACAACAAAUUGUGGAGGGUUGCUCAAGACCAGCUCUCUAUUGUGAACCCUUCCAUUGGUCACUAACGAAAUUAUUAGGCUGACUCCAAAGGCUGGGUCCUUCUGCAUGUGACUAAUGAUUACUAUAAGACACUGGUCACAUACAGACGAAGUCAACCUUUAGAUCUAACCCAUUUUAAAAUAGAGGGGAUGGGGAAUGCUACCUUAUGAAGGACAAGCAAUUUUCAGUUUAAAUUGUCAUUAUGUCUUUAUUGUCCAAAAAGCUGUCUCAUUAGUCAAUGCAAGGGAAUUAAAAGCCCUUGCCAAGGAUUUGGGAGGUGAUGAAGGAAUGUUUAUACCAGACAGAAGAGUCAAACUUUUUAUGGGAUUCGCCAGGCUUGGAGCACCUGAAGACUAUGCCAAAACUAAACUCUUUUGAAAGUGAAUAGAGAUUUGUGAUAAGCAAUCUUUGCUUCUCAUUUGAAAAAACAUAAUAAUGUAAUAUACAGCUCAUAACUAGGUUAAAGCCCUUAAUCAGAAUCUGCUUUUCUCAAAGUUCCUGGUUGUUUGAUUUUUGGGAAGGAAUUGAAGGAGUGUGAUAUAGUGGAUAGAGUGUUGGAUCAGGAAGAAUUGUGUUGAGAGCACACUCAAGGACCUUGGGGCUUGCUGCCAUCUCUCCCCCCAACCCCCAGACAAGGUCAUUUGAAGACAAAAUAGGAUAACUCCAAUGUAAACUGCCCUUGGCUCUCUGAAGAAAGAGAGGAAUACAAAAUGUGGCAAUAAAAAACUGGCCGUCUGUUCCAUUAUUUUUUUUUGCCAUAAGUCCACAAUGACUUUCCUACAACUAGCCUUCACAGGACUAGAUUUCUCAUUUGCCAGACAAAUGUAUUGUUAAAUGCUCAUAGGAUACAUGUUCUGGACACUUCCACACCAGCAAUGGGCUUGGAUCUGAAGGCCUUCUGCUCACACAACGGGAAGCCACCUCCCCCUUCUGUCCACAGACCCCAGCAUUGUAUCCAAUGCCAUUCCCAAACACCUCCUUCAGGCUUUUCAGAUGGGCCAGGUGGCUCCAGUGGAGAUGGAGAGAUGGGAAGAAUGCAUUCCAUGACCAGUUUUUUGCUUGGGGUUUUAGGAGGUAAACCUGUGUGUGCCCCCCCACAAUAAAAUUCCAUAGAUGCUCCUUGUUGUCAUGCAAAAAUACUAAAGUGGCUCUGGGUAUAAUGUAACAUGCAAAACUUGAAUCAUGUGGCCUGCAUUCUGUGUCUACGCAUUCAGUGGGAGGCUAUUCUGCAUGCAGAUUAGCUGUUGCAACAAAUUCUGCAUAAGGAUUGGCUAUGUGUGAAAAGCUGUAGCUCAGGGUUAGAGCAUCUGUUUUCCGUGCAGAAGGUCCCAGGUUCAGUUCCCAAUAGCUCCAGAUAGGCCAGCCCUGUUUGAAACCUUGGAGAGAUACUACCAGUUAGAGUUAGCAGUGCUGAUCUAGAUGGACCAGUGUAUCUGACUCAGUGUAGGGCAGCUCCCUAAGAUCCUAUGCUAUUGCAGGAAAACACUUGCAUUCAGCUGCCCCUUCUCUCCUGUGCUGGGUCUAGAGACCCAUGAAAGCCGUAACAAGUUGCAAAGUUUGUGUAUCGCUCUCUGUACAUUCUCUAUUGCCCGCCUUCCACCGAUCGUCAGUUUGGCUGGGAAAACAGUGCAAAAAUAGCAGAACCAGCAAGAGCAAAACAACAUAAAAUAGCCAAAUAUUUGCUCAAUCAAGAAACAGCGGAUAGUAGAAUAGGCUGGGAGGGGGGAAACUUGGGACAAUCGCCAAAAUGUAUAGUACGAUUCACAUAACAUGAAUAUGCCCCCAGAAUAAGCAAUAGCUCAAAGGUGUUUUUUCAGCUGUUUUGCCUGCUUUUUACGAGUGCACGUUUUGAGUGGGAGUAGUGGAUAAGCCCAGUACAAAACUGCCUCUUGAAAAGAAAAGAAAAGAAAAGUCUACAGAGGCUUCUUCAGUAAAUUCAGAGUGGUUGCCAUUUCUAAGACUCAAGAAAUCAAUGCCUGUAUGCACGUAAGGUACAAUUAGGAUUGCUGCAUACUGCACACCAGAAUAUCAGCAAGACCGAAAAGUCACAUUCCUUCACUGUUUACCUUUGCAGGUCAAUGAUGUUAUAUUUAUGGUGUUGCCUUAAAAGGCAGGGCAACUUCCGCUCAAGGCAGGAUACACAAUUAUGCAGCCCAGAGGACAGGUAAGACAGACUUAUGGGAAGAGGAGAAUUCACCUUUCUUUAGCCUUUGGGCAGAGCUGGGAACAGCUCUAUAGCUCCGAAUAUAGUUGGAUCAAUGUUUUGCUUAACAAGAGAAAUGGAAAGAUAACCUGAUCCAGCACCUGGUACAACUAGGAAAAAUGGUUUUCUGCAGCAGUCUUUUUGAUAUAAAACAGAAAGCUAUUAUAUGUUAUCUUUUAAAAAAAUCUAAUAGGAAUGUUACACUGAGUGUACAGUGGGCUGGAUGCAGAGUUAACCAUGCAUAGAGUAAGCCCAUUGAAAGCAAAUCCCAUUGAUUUUAAUGGGGGUUCUCUAUGCAUUACUAACUCUGCAUCCAGCUCAGUAGUUCUAAUAUAUUAGAAAUAUAUUUGAUCUAAUAUAUUAGAAAUGUAUGGAGGAAGACUUCAUUUUACCCUGCAGCUAUGGUCACUGUGAAGGACUGAUUUCCUCAGCCAAGGGGAAAUGGUUCACAAAUAACCAUUUUGUAUUUUCACAUUCUUACUAUUCGUUAUUAUUUAGCCCUUACUGACCAUCUUGUAUAAACUCCAUUGUGUUUGCAUAUCAGGCAAAGGAAAGCAAGUGGCGUAGGAUGAGACAGCAAAAUGAUAAUGCAACUAUAUUGAGGUAGUACAGAGCUAUUUUUCUAGGAAAAAAAGGUGCUGGAGCUCACCCUUGUUCUCUUAUAAUGGCAGUGGUGCCUACCUGAGAAGUACCAGAACUGAGUUCUAAUGAGUUCCAGCUAAAAAACACACCCUGAGG